rnacentral:lncRNA from 1 species
UACCCAAAGCAACGCGUCUGUGUGCUGCAACGCCACCUCGAUUUUCGCCGUGUCACGACGAGGGAAUCCCACGGCUGCAAAGACUGAAUUCAGCUGGUCUAAGUUAAGUCCUUCUGUUGUUCGACGGAGAAGAAAGCCUCUGGAUUCGAGAUCUUCGUCGCUGAUUGAGUAACUUGGUGGCUUUCGUUGCAUUGCAGCUGGAAACGUCGCUUGUGAUGAUGAUUGUGUGACUGCGUUUUGUGGGUUUAAUGUGGACCUUAACCGGAGAGAAGCUGGAGGAGUGGAGAUUGUGCCUCCGAGAAACAUGGUAUACACUAUUUUUUGUUCAAGUGUUGAAUUUUAGGAGCUCGAUUACAUGGAAUCAGACAAAAGGAUGGUUUUUUAGUUUCCCUGAAUUUGGAUAAAGUGUGUGUUUUGUGUGUGGCUGUGGAUAAACGGAGAACCUCUCUAGUCUCUCUAGCUUUUACUUUUCUGUUUUUUGGAGGAAAUAAAAUAAAAUCGGUACGAAGAAACUCGUGGCUGUCAGAGACUAUUGUCGUUUGGUAGUUGAGAGUCAAAGAGAUACUCUUUUGGCGGGCAAUGUAGUAGCUUCAAACGAAUCCAGAAAUGGAGUGAACAAAACCUGAAUAACUUAUAUUUUUUUGUGUUUUACUUCAGUGAUUUUCCUUGUUGUGUGAUUUUUUUAGUUCUUCACAAUGGUUCUAGUGGUUAAUCAAGAUUUGAUCAUUGAGUGAUGCAAACAAGCAGUUAGUGAUUGUUCUUGUGCUGUUUUAUGUUUACCAUGUUUGAAGGUCUCUGGCAUGUGAUCAGCAGAGGAUGAGUGAUUCUUUUCUAUAUGUUUGCUGCAUUCUUUCUUGCUCAUCAAAGAUUUUUAGAGCCACAGAGCAUUUAAGUAUCUCUCCUGCAAUUCAGGAAUGGAAUGGAACGUGCACAUGCUAUUGUUGACAGAAAUGCUGGUUCUUCGCCUUUACUCGCUGAACUCGUCUGGUCCUUCAAUCUUCGUGAAGGUUGGGACGGCCCAUCUUUCGUUUUCUGUCUAUCUGUUUAUUGCUCCUACGUGCAUUAUGAUGGAUUGGAGAUUACAAAAGUCGAAAGCGACCUGAGAAUAACAUCAACGAUCAAAACCUGAUCUUGUUAUAUCAAAGGGUUGAUAAAGCUAUCGGUUCAAUUGCGCUUAUCAGGAUAUGCUCUGUUUUGUGUUAGAAGGAAGUCUCUGAAGAACAAGGUACAUAUUAUAUAACAGGGUUCCAACGGAGAACCGUGCAGAUAACUUAUUUGGGACAGCUUCUACAAAAAAACAUAUUCCGGCAAAAGAAAACAAUGCAACUACCUACACAUGGCUUAUUAAAGGCAAACAACACGAUUGGUGAGACCCCUGAAACGUCUCUCUUCACUACAGGAUUUGGAUUCUUUGUGAACCCCCAUAUCUUCUUCUCUCAUUCGCCAUGAGUUUUAUUUGGUUUUGCUCACCUUCCCUCUACUCUGGACACGACUAGCUGCACUUGUUCUUGUUCUAGCUUUGAGGUCUGAUUUUUCUCCUUCGUUGCUGAUUGUUUUCUCUGUGUGUUGGCGUUUUUGAAGGUAGACUUGUUUAGAACCAUUCUUCCUAGCUGCAUGUUUGUUGAUGUGCUUUGGAAGCUGAUUGCUAGGCCCCGAGGAUGCAUCAGAAGCCAUGGAAUCAUCACUCUCUUCAUCACCACCAUCAUCACUAGUAUCGCCAUCAUCGUUCUCAUAACCAUCAUCAGCCUCUUUAACCUGUGUAUCAUCAUCAUCAUCAUCGACAACAACAGAUGAUUGGUCAUUUCCAUGGAAGGCGUCUUCUAUGUACAUAGUCCACCCUGACUCACAACUGCUGUAUUCCUCCUCUUCAGAGCCUCCAUGGUUUCUCGGAGACUCCAUGGCUUCACGCAACAGAAAGAGGAAAACAAAACCAAGGUCUCAAAAUUAGCUUAUAUGCACAGACACAAAAAGAUCACUUACUUCUUCUAGUUACGUACCUUAUGUGAUCCAAUCCACUUCACCAAUUUACUCUCUGAUAUAGGUAUCAAGAAAAGCCGGAGCCUAUAGGAAGCCUCAUAUAAUUGAAGAGAAGGAGUAAGUUUCACCACAUGGCAACCCUAGCACCAUUGUUUUCACUCAAUUGAAGCACUACCAGACAAAGCUCAUUGCAGAUAUAUAUCAAGGGAAGGAAGGUUAGUGCCUCCCUUCAUUAUAAAGUACACUCUCUUAUAGAAUUAAAAGCCUAUGCUCUUCUUUUUCAAUAUCAACUAACUAUACUUUUCUUUAAACAAAUAUUUUGGUUCCUAACAAACCAUAAUCUAGUCUUAGAGUCAGGACACAUCAAUAUCCACAGAACAAGAAUCAUCCUUGUAAGCUCUGUCAUUAGUUAUAUGACUUCUUAAUUGAUAUGUGAAGUUAUAAGUUAUCUCUAUCUCUCUCUCUCUUCUCUUCUCUCUAUGUAUGACUCUGGCUAUCUUAAAUAGAAAAGAUCAGCUUUUGAGGUGGAAAUCAGAAGAGACCCACAUGAACAAACAAGAAGGAAUAAAAGAAGCAUUUACUUAAUUAGGUUAAGAGCUGUUCCUCUUUCUCAUUCCUUUAAUACUCUUCUUCAUCCUCCAAUCCUCUCUCAUUGUCUUUAAAAUUGUUGCAGCCUUUUACUUCAUCUCUCAUUGUAUUGAAAAGGUUUACACAACUGGAUUUUGUUUGUCAUUUUUGUUUUAAAAGAUAAGGACAAAACAAAAAGAAGUAAACAACUGUCACAAACCCCAAAAUAAAAGUAAAAGACAGAAUUUGCAAAUUACAAGAAUAAAUUGUCUUCAUUGCGUUUCCUGUUUCUCUGGCGUCACCUUAAAAUGUUCUUUCAGUGGAGGCCCUCUUGGUGACAGCUUGCAAAUCAAGUGUGUGAUGAGAGUUCAUUUUACAAAAGGGUUGUUUUGUUUUGACUUUGACUCUUGUUUGAAUAUUGUGUAAACAAAGAUAUUAAGACAUUAUACAUUAGUUUGACUCUACUUUUAAUAAUGUAUCAGCUUUGUGUGCUUUUAAGACAUUUUCGAGUCUCAUAGAAUUUGAAAGUGGGCGUGUAGAAUUUGGAGAGAUGUGUACAAAUCGUUAAUAGCUAAAAAGAAUGGAGUUGGACUCGUUGGA